rnacentral:rRNA from 1 species
CCCUUAGAUGUUCUGGGCCGCACGCGCGCUACACUGAUGCAUUCAACGAGUCUAAAACCUGCUCUGAUAGGGGUGGGUAAUCUUUUGAAUGUGCAUCGUGAUUGGGAUAGAUGAUUGCAAUUUUUCAUCUUCAACGAGGAAUGCCUAGUAAACGCAAGUCAUCAGCUUGCAUUGAUUACGUCCCUGCCCUUUGUACACACCGCCCGUCGCUCCUACCGAUUGAAUGAUCCGAUGAAUAUCAUGGAUUGAGGAUGCAAGUAGGUUAGCCUAUCUUCAUCUUCGAGAAGUGAAGUAACUCUUAUCAUUUAGAGGAAGGAGAAGUCGUAACA